rnacentral:rRNA from 1 species
UAGGGAAUCUUCCGCAAUGGGCGAAAGCCUGACGGAGCAACGCCGCGUGAGUGAUGAAGGUCUUCGGAUCGUAAAACUCUGUUAUUAGGGAAGAACAAAUGUGUAAGUAACUAUGCACAUCUUGACGGUACCUAAUCAGAAAGCCACGGCUACCUACGUGCCAGCAGCCGCGGUAAUACGUAGGUGGCAAGCGUUAUCCGGAAUUAUUGGGCGUAAAGCGCGCGUAGGCGGUUUUUUAAGUCUGAUGUGAAAGCCCACGGCUCAACCGUGGAGGGUCAUUGGAAACUGGAAAACUUGAUUGCAGAAGAGGAAAGUGGAAUUCGAGGUGUAGCGGUGAAAUGCGCAGAGAUAUGGAGGAACACCAGUGGCGAAGGCGACUUUCUGGUCUGUAACUGACGCUGAUGUGCGAAAGCGUGGGGAUCAAACAGG